AAGAAGACCGUAUUCUGAGAGAUACUAAUCGAAAUACAGACGACUCCAGGACAAUAUCGGACAAGCUGGUAACAAGUUUUGGUAAGGAAGAUGGCAUUCAUCGUAUUCUGUAUUGUGGUCACUAUGGCAACAUUCGGCUUGGACGUUGACGCAGUUUGCACCAAUAAAGUAACAAUAAGCCACUUUGCUCUGCUUGACCAAGCCACUGGAAAUGUCCUUCAAUCGCUUCCGAUAAAA